GACGAACGCUGGCGGCGUGCCUAAUACAUGCAAGUCGAGCGGACUUGAUGAGAAGCUUGCUUCUCUGAGAGUUAGCGGCGGACGGGUGAGUAACACGUAGGCAACCUGCCUGUAAGACUGGGAUAACUACCGGAAACGGUAGCUAAUACCGGAUAGGUGAUUUUCUCGCAUGAGGAAGUCAAGAAAGACGGAGCAAUCUGUCACUUACGGAUGGGCCUGCGGCGCAUUAGCUAGUUGGUGAGGUAAAGGCUCACCAAGGCGACGAUGCGUAGCCGACCUGAGAGGGUGAACGGCCACACUGGGACUGAGACACGGCCCAGACUCCUACGGGAGGCAGCAGUAGGGAAUCUUCCGCAAUGGACGAAAGUCUGACGGAGCAACGCCGCGUGAGUGAUGAAGGUUUUCGGAUCGUAAAGCUCUGUUGCCAGGGAAGAACGUCUUAGAGAGUAACUGCUCUAAGAGUGACGGUACCUGAGAAGAAAGCCCCGGCUAACUACGUGCCAGCCGCCGCAGUAAAAC
rnacentral:rRNA from 1 species